rnacentral:rRNA from 1 species
UACGGGGGGGGCAAGCGUUGUUCGGAAUUACUGGGCGUAAAGGGCUCGUAGGUGGCCAACUAAGUCAGACGUGAAAUCCCUCGGCUUAACCGGGGAACUGCGUCUGAUACUGGAUGGCUAGAGAUUGGGAGAGGGAUGCGGAAUUCCAGGUGUAGCGGUGAAAUGCGUAGAUAUCUGGAGGAACACCGGUGGCGAAGGCGGCAUCCUGGACUCAUACUGACACUGAGGUGCGAAAGCGUGGGGAGCAAACAGG